rnacentral:rRNA from 1 species
AUGAACUUCUUAGAGGGACUUCUGUGACUACAGAUGGAAGUUUGAGGCAAUAACAGGUCUGUGAUGCCCUUAGAUGUUCUGGGCCGCACGCGCGCUACACUGAUAAAGUCAGCGAGUAUUCACCUUGACCGGAAGGUCUGGGUAAUCUUUUGAAACUUUAUCGUGAUGGGGAUUGAGCAUUGCAAUUAUUGCUCAUGAACGAGGAAUUCCUAGUAAGCGCGAGUCAUCAGCUCGCGUUGAUUACGUCCCUGCCCUUUGUACACACCGCCCGUCGAUACUACCGAUUGAAUGGCU